rnacentral:lncRNA from 1 species
ACAAUGGAUUUUCUUGUCACCUACAGGAAAUGUUCGAUGUUAUAUUGGAUGAGAAUCAGCUUGAGGAUGCUUGUGAACAUCUAGGAGAGUACCUUGAGGCGUACUGGCGAGCCACCCACACGACCAGCAGCACCCCCAUGACCCCGCUACUGGGGAGGAAUUUGGGCUCCACAGCACUCUCACCAUAUCCCACGGCAAUUUCUGGGUUACAGGUAUUGCCCCUUGUACUUUUACUACCUCAUUACUAAGAUUCUAUAGAAAACUUGAUUAAAUUGAAGACUAGGGUUGUCCUUAUCUGAAGAGGAAAACAUAGGGGCACUUUAUAUAAAGAAAAUAUAAACUAUUACCUAAUCAUGUUCCAUCCUACAGCAGGUUACCCAGAAACCCUUUCUAGAGACUUUCUUGCUGGGAAUUUAUAAUGAAUCAAUCCCUGAUCAUUCAGUGUCUACUCAGUGCAGCUGCCCAUGGCUUCUCCGUGGCACUUUUUAAUGAUUAUAGGACCAUGCAAAUCUCAGCUACCAUAGCUAGAUAAAUAAGAUAUUUGGGGACAGAUAGGGCUUUUGAUUGCCCUUAACUUUUUCCACCCCUGAGGUUGCUAGACAUGUCCUUUACUUUGCAAAAGACAGCAUGUGAAUGUGAGUAGAACUACUCGGUUUGGAAAUGGUGACAGGUCUCUGAGUUUUCUUGGAGGGGUCCAGGAGUCCACCUUGUUCGGUGGCUAUGGAAAGUGUCCUUUAGAGAAGCUAGGAAAGAGCACAGGACCAGGAGCUUCUCUCUUCCGCUGUUCUCAUGCUGUACUCAGAAGUAGAUAUAGGGAGCCAGAGGCAUUAUGAUACAAAAUGACUCUUUCCUUUCUACAUUAAUUAUUAUUUACCAUUUAUCAAGCAGCUGCUGGAAUAUGACCAAACCCCCAGCUGACGGAGGAACAUGUAGUCAAUUGAGCCCUCUUUCAUCAUGACUAGUUUUGUUUUAAUGGGUUAUAAUGAUAGUCAUAAUUGUAGAUCAUGUAGAGUUAACUCUGAGAUAAAUGGCACUCUCUGAAAUGCUAUUAUAACUGUAUUACUCUUCUGCAAAAUUUCAUCUCUGUAAGCAGAAAAUCUGCCAUAUAAAUGAAUCACUUUUGAGGCUGGAAAUGAACAUGGAAAUGUAUGAUGGCAAUGUACGGUGUAUCUGUAUGCAUCAGGACUAUUUCCUGCCUCGUUUUCCUUCUUGUGUGCUGAUGAGAAUAGCAUUUCCAUUGGCUCACUUGAGUUGGCUCUGAAUUUUGCAUAAAUUAGUGGGAUGAGGAAUGGAUGUAUGAAACAGUAUGCUUCUCUGGUGUAGGAGGAAGUAGAAUGUUGUACUUUGUUAUGAAUGCAACACUCUUGAAUUGUCAUCCCUAACACACCCACCUAGAGUAGUUUUCCCAGUUUCCUUAAUGAGUUAAUGGGGUGGCUUUUGUCUCAAGGCGUACUUCUCUCAGGAAUAUAGGGUCUAAAUUAUUAGACACCUGGCUGAAGUUGAUGGCACUGUCUAUGACCCACUCAAUGAGUUUGCUUCUGUAUGAAGCUGCAUGUGCUUUGGAGAAGAUGUGACUGGGCCCAUGGUUUCAUCAGAAUCUUGUCCCUUAUCUGAGAUGGCCUACCUAAGCUUGUAUACACACUGAUCCAUGGUUCCCAUAGAGAGAAAAAUAUUUGAAUAACAUUUUAUGAUCCAUCAAAUAAGUGACUUAAGAUGAUACUUUCAAUUAAUGAUAUUAGAGAAAUUUACUUUCUAUCUGAAAAUUAGUUUUGCAGGACAUUUCAAUUGAGGAAGCAAGAUUUAUGAGGCAUCAAUUAGCGGGCUCCAUAAUUACUAUAUACUCCUGUGGAAAGAAUAUUGUUGAGAGUCUAACGUUUAUGUAGGCUUCAGAAACAAAUGCACUAUUUUAUAGAUAGCACAAAUAAUAAUUUCAUUGAGAUGUUUUUUAGGAAAAUUCAGCUAGAUCAAGGUGAAGCAUAUGAUUUUAGAAGAAGAAAGAUUUUAUCAGUUCAAGGGAAAAAUAAAAUAAAUGAUGCUAUUCUGAACUUUAUUUCCCAAUAGUAAAAUAAUCCUCAUUUUUGCAGUAGAAGUACAAUUAUUAGGCCUUUCUAAAUAUGUUAAAUUCUAUUUAACAGUCAACUUUCAAUUCUGUGUUUUCAAUAGGAUGCAUAGUCAUGCAGCACUAUGUAAUUAAAUUCAUAAAUUAUCAGCACUAUGGCAUCUUUACAUGUUGUGUCCUAAAUAAAUAAAACCAGAGAUUUGGGGCAGAUCAUUUGUACAUCAAAAUGUUUUAUCAAGUCAGAUAUCUCUCUUCUCAUUAGACAGAUCCUAUUAUUGUACAUUCAUUUACAUGUUUAGGUGAAUGAAGCUGACAUUAUUUAAUCAGUGAACUAUCUGAUAUUUUAGAGUCAGCGAAUGAGGCACAGCAACCACUCCACAGAGAACUCUCCGAUUGAAAGACGAAGUCUAAUGACCUCUGAUGAAAAUUAUCACAAUGAGAGAGCUCGGAAGAGUAGAAACCGUUUGUCUUCCAGUUCCCAGCACAGCCGAGAUCAUUACCCUCUUGUGGAAGAAGAUUACCCUGACUCAUACCAGGACACUUACAAACCUCACAGGAACCGAGGCUCACCUGGGGGAUACAGCCAUGACUCCCGGCAUAGGCUUUGAGGCUGCCAAAACAACAAAAAAAUAUGUAUUCAUCUGUUGACAAUUUGCCAUAGCACUGCUAGGAUAAACCAAUCAUCUUAACUUGGCAAGCACAGCACAGUAUUGACUGUGCUUAUGGGCUGCUGUCAUUUGAUGCUAAGGGGCAAAAAACAACAACAAAAAAAUGUACAUUAUGCCCUUGAGUCUAGAUGGAUAUUAGAUGCCCAAUCAUAUAGAUAUUUUAAGUGCUACAUUUACAUAACAGUACCUUUUGUUUUCUUCAUAGAUUUAAACACAUCAAUUUGUAAUUUAGGGUACUUAACAAGGCACAUAUAAAAUAAUUUCCCAUGCUGGAAAUUCCAAAUGACCAGUUCCAGUUGGAACCAAUUUAUAAACCAAUUCCUGUUGGAAUUUGGGUGAAUUGACUAGAAAGUCUACUUGAGCAUGUUGCAAUCAAUUGAAAUCUUGGGGAAAAAAACCAAUAAGAAAAUCAAAAUAUCAAUAGAAGCCAAAACUAGCUAUUUAUUUGCUGGAAGCUAAAUUUACACUUAAAAGUUGGAAUGUAUAAACAUUUUAAUAUAUGUUAAUGUUGCCAGAAUGGCUUUUCAAACUUACCAAAUGUAUUGAUAGUGCCAAAAAAAAAAAAAAAAAACCUCAAAUCUUAAUGCAGAAACUAUAUAGUCGCCUCAGAUUUUAAUAUUUUUAUUUCUUUGCUGGCACAGCUGUUGUAUUCAAAGUGUUUUGCUUUCUGUUCAGUCAAUACUGUUAGCUCGUUUGAACUUGGCAAAAAAAAAAAAAAAAUUGGCAGAGAGAAAGAAUAGUAAAGAGAAGCCCGAGCAUAGCUGAUUAUAAGAAAUGGGAAAUGAGAUGUUGUUUCUUUAAUCAGUUUGAGCACAACUACAUACAUCCAGGGAACUGAAGUCACACCAAGAAUGUGGUAUAGAUCCUCCUGAGUACAAAGCUUAACAACUCCAGGUGGGAGAUCAGCUAUCCCACUUAAUACAAACAUGGGGUCAGUUUUUCCUGCUAGCGUAGUUAAGUAUCUUUCUAUUUCAUCACUCCGUUUAUGUCUUUGAAUAUCUAAACAUUCUAGCCCUUCGCCAAAUGUUUUAAAUUAUGCUAAGGAUUUUUUUUUCCAUGACACAUAAAAAUUCGGUAUUGGAAGUUAGCUUUUUACAAAUUGGAAAAGUUAAAACAAAUGAUAAAUUCAAAAGCUUGCAAACGCAUAGAUGCAGAAUAUAUACACUAUAAUUACAACAUUUUUAAUGCAAAGAAUUAUGAAGAAUUUGGAGAUUGAGAUACCUUACUUCUAGUGAGCAUUUUUAAUCACUCAUUAAUUAUUCAGUUUUUACAGUAACUAUAAUUAUAAAAUUGGUGACAAAUGUCUUCUAUUAUCAAGGAAGACUUAGGUUCCCUAUGAUCCAAAAAGUUGUGGAAAUUGACCCUUUUAUACAAGACAAAAUGUCUUUAUAAAAGACUCCUGUUUCUAAAAUUCCAAAAAUGUAUGCAUUUUCUCAAACCUGAUAGGAACCAAGCAUGAAAUCCUUUUCUACUGGUACAUGUUAUAAAGACUAUUUUUGAAAACAAGAAUAAUUAAUUUUAUAUUAUUUUAUUUUUCCCCAAGUUUUUCAAUAUUUAGACUCUCAAAGCAUGCACCAGUUCAAUAAUUUUUCCUGAUCAAGAAAAUAAGUGUCCCAGGGUGCAGUGGCGCAUGGCUAUAAUCCCAGCAACUCUGGAAGCUGAGGCAGGAGGAUAGCAAGUUCAAAGCCAGCCUCAGCAAUUUAGUGAGGUGCUAAGUAACUCAGUGAGACCCUGCCUCUAAAUAAAAUACAAAAUAGGGCUAGGGAUGUGGCUCAGUGGUUGAGUGCCCCUGAGUUCAAUCCCCAGCAACACCCCCCCCACAAGAAAAAAGAAAAGUUUCACAUUCUUGAUUAGUUACCCUCAUCUUGAACCUCAUUGCCGUCUCAUCCUGCAGUCUCCCUUCACGUUCACUGCGUGUGCCCCAUUAUGAACCUGUUUAGUUGAUAAUGAGGAUGCCUAUAAUUCUGUAAGUCAUUCACACAUUUGAUACAAUUAAACAUGGGCUCAGUAAAUUUUAAAAGUUAACGUGACACUGGCUUGUGAAGUUCUUUUGUCAUCUAGCAAAGUUUACAGAACUUUCAGUUAAGACAUUUAAGAGAGCUAUCUCCAUUAGGCUCUUAAAAAUAUAUAUAUAUAUAUAACCUGCCAUUACUAAAUACUUUGUUAGAAUAUAGAAGAGCAUUUUCCAGCAAACAAAAAUAUAUUUAUUACAUGUACAGCACAUAUUUGCAUGAGAAAGAAAACAUUAGCCAAACAUUUUUCUAUAUGCUUUACUGGUUUCUUGUUUGUGUGCUUUAAAGUAUUUAAUUGCAAAGAAUGCACCAAGGUGUAUAAAUUUAGACUAGACAGCUGUUCAGCUUUUUCUGUAGUAGCAUUAGCAAUUUGGUCAUUUAACUACUUUAAGAUAUUUACAUUUUAUGGCAGGUAGCUGUAACAGCGUUUACAUAUAUUUCCUAGUCAACAAGAUCACCAUUUUCUUUCAACUUUUAAAAAGUCACUUAGUUUUAAAGGUCUCUCAAAGCCUUGUUUCUAGACUUCCAUGUCAUGCUGAAAAAGAGGGAGGCCCAUUCAGUAUCCGUGUACAAAUUCAAUCCAUCAUUUACCAUCAGAUGUCCAUACCGUUUUGCUUUGCAUUCUUAUUCAAAAGCUAACAAUCUUGGAAAGGGUAUAAUGUAUAUUUUUCUUAAUGGAUAUAUUUAAAAUUUCACUUUAACUUGACAUUUCAUCUUCCUUCUGUAGUAAGUUUAUUUCCUCCAAAUGAAUAAGAAAUAUGCAUCUUCCUUUUAUUACAAAGUGGUUUGUUUCUGUGUAAAUGAUACUAAAAUCCAGAUAUUGACUAAGUGAAAAGUUUUAUUUUUGUCAAGCACACUAAGCACCUUUGGAAUAGAUGUAUUCCACAAAUACUUUGUUUUUCAUUUAUUUUAUUUAAAGUAGCAAAUCAUCACAAGUAGGAGAAACAAGUCUUAUAAUAUUUGGGGGCUAUUUUAACUUAUAGUAUAAAAUACCUGUUAGAAUUCUGUCACUUCAGUCAGCAGACAUGUAACAAUGAAGACUCAUGGGACAAUGUGGAAAUGUAGUCCUAGACAAAAAAAAAAAAAAGGGAAUGCAAGUUGUCAAUCCUGAUGUUAAUUCUCACGGCUAUAAUGUGACUCUAAUAUUAUAAUCAACAAUAUUAUCUCAUUUACUGCAAUAUUUAAAGCAACACUUAGAAAUGUUUAUAAAUGACUAAUGUUUCUCUCUUAUCUUUAUACAGUUCUAUUGGAAGAAAGGUUGAAAUUCUUAAUAAUUGAGACUAAUGGUCUUUCCUAAUAAGAGAGUCUUAAUGUUGUGACUAUACAAGUCAUUGCAUUUAGUCCUUAAUGAAAUGAAUUUUUAAAAUGUGAAACAAAUUAUGAGACAAUUAUUUGUUCCCUUUAAAUAAUGUCACUUACUCUAAUUAUUAUUGUUGUUUUUUGCAAAAUGUAUUUUUGGAAUGUUAACCUCUUUUCAUACCUGCAUACUUGAACUUGUCUUUUGUGUGGGGGCCUUAAAAUUCAUAAUAUAAAGUGGGGGUAAUGAAAGAGAGUGCGAGAAGAAAAUUAUGGCAAAAGAUAGUUUGCAAAUUUAAAUUCUUUAAAUGAACAUAUCACAAAAUAUUUUUGCAACCCAGGAUGUCAGUUAAGAAUGUUUUUAGGUAACCCUAAUUUGCAUGCUGGCAUAUUUUCUUAAGUUGUACAAUUUUAUUUUGGUAUUUGCUAAAAAACAAAACAUAAUGCCACUGUAGAAUUUGCCCUCUAUAUUGAUAUUUAUAUACUACCUCUUCUCUAGAGAAGACAGUUGGUCUUAAAAGGGAAAUAACUUGUCAAAAACCAGUGAUCAAAUUUCUUACUAUUAUUGCUAACUUUGCUGAAAGCUAACUGCAUAAAGUGUUAAAAUUUGCCUUCCCUUUAGAUUUUAAACUGAUGAUUUUAUCCCAGAUGCUGCAUGUUUCCAUAUGCUCUUGUCACCCUUCAUUUCUUCCAUAUUAGUGAAGUUUUCUUUGAAUUGGUUCACAGAUUAUCCUGAAGUAUGGUUAAUUUGGUUAAUUUAACAAAUGAAUCAUAAUAGGGAACAAAACAAACUGCAAAGUAAUUUAUCUUUGUGUACAACAUGUUAUGAUAUCUAGCUCUAAGUUUAAAAGAGAGUAGUUCCAAAGACUUGAUGUUUAAAUGCAGCUGUUUUGCAAAUUCAAAUUUUUGUCUUUUGAGAACACCAAGAACAUGACUUAACCAAUUACUGGGUAAGGGUAUACAUUAUCUUGGACUCCCAUGUAAUUGGAACAAAUUUCAUAUCAGUGUUUCAAAUAAAUACAUAUGUAUUCCUUAGUCCUUUUAUAUUUCUGCCUUUGUCUCUCAUGACAAUGUUGCAUGCUGGUUUUUUUAAUUAUAUAAAACUCAUCCUUGAAUGACUAUAUGAAUGAAAACUUUAUAGGAAAUUAUGUAAUAAAAUCUGUUUUAUUAGUUCCUUAUAACUUUAAUGUCAUACUGUAACUGUUCCUAAGUUACUUACUUAAGCUGUGUCUAUGCAGCAUAGAACAGUCCUCCUCUUUUCAAUGAUAAUCAUGAUCAAAUCAAUCAAUACAAUAGACAACAAAAACAACUUUUUUCUUUGAAUUAAGCUGUCAAAUUGGUCAAAAUAGUGAAAUUGGUUUAUAGGGGCAGACAGAGCUACAGCAUUAAAAAAAUUACUUUUUAAAGUUUUCUUCUUUUAUUUGAAGGGAUUUUCCAAUGAAAUACAUCCUCUGAUAGCAAUCAUCUCUAACUACUUAUGGAUAAUUUAAUCUCAAAUGCUGCAUGUAAUUUAGCUAUGAGAAGAUUCGAAAGUAUCUCAUCAGAUAUUAUAAUUAAGGGCUGUAACUCCUACAUGAAAAAUGUAUAAAUAUAAGUGAAGAGCACUGAGUUUUGGGGAGUCAUAGUUUCAUAUGACACUUUCUUUUGUUUCUUUUGAUGGAUGUAAAAUGUUUGCAGAAAGAUGGUAGAAAAUGAUACUAAUGGAUUUAAAGUGGUUUGGGGUAUACACUGAUACUUCCUCAAUUGAAAAUGAUAAGGAGUUAAAAUGAGAACUAAGAACCAAAAGUGGCUGGCCUCUAGCUUUUCAAUAUUUUCUAAGUGUUCUUGGUUAUGUUUUGAACACUUAAAAUUUCUCAACCAAUGGCUAUGUCUAUAUUUAUGUAGGGGCCUCUCUUGCCCUACUUGCAUGCCACUUUCACACACUUAACUGAAAUCAGUGUGAAUUCUGUAUGCAUAAGGGAUGUAUUAAAGAUGCAGGAUCAUUAAAGCUAUAUUGUUGCAUACUAUUUUUCAUAUGCCUUACAAUAUUUUCUGGGACGUUAUUAAAAUGAAAGCAUUUUAUUGCCAAAAUAAAUCUAUGUUGUUACUUCUGCAAUAGCAGUAGAAAAAUAAAUAAUGUAGCAAAAAUAUAUAUUGUACAGUACAAAAUUAUAAAAUAUAUAUAUAUAUAUUUUGCCAAUAAUAUGAAAAUAGAUUGAGGAGAAAGAAGCACAUUUGUUAUAGCACAAACUUACAACAAAAUCCACUGUUAAAUUUGGCAGUCCUAUUUUUUAAAAGUAAAUAGAUUUAGUUAUAUGUUUCAUCUACCAUCUUUUUACCUUGCUGCUUGAUACCUUUCCAGCAAUUUAUUUCAUAGCCUUGCAAUCUGUGGUUGUAAUUUAUUUUAUUCCUUUCCAUAAAACUUAUUAAAUUUUAUUUUGUGAUAAGACUCAUACUAUAUUUUCUGUUCUUAUUUCUUCUCCUUCAAUAACAACUACAAAAUGUCACAGCAAGUGAGCUCUCAGCGCUCCUCUGAAUUUUGGACAUGUUUGAAAUUUUUUGUUUUUCACAGCCUCAAAUUAGAAUGAUCAACCAAGAUGUCCCAGUGCAAAAAUUUUAGUUAGGGAUUCCUUAAUUUAUUUUGUACUGGAUACUAGUUUAAAAUAUAAGUUAAAGCCAUUAGCUUUGUUUUGGAAGGGAUGGGGGAGGGAAUAAAAAAUAAAGUUAUUAAUAUAAAACAUUAAAAAAUGAAAAUGGCAAAACAAUACAGAAAGUUUUCCCCUUCUAUUCUGAGGCCUGUUGAAUAUCCCUGACUAUUGCUAUAUCUCCAGUGAUAAAGUGGGGAAAAAAUGCCUUUGUCAAAUAAUUUUUUUCUUUCUUUAAAUUUUAGUUAUUUAUAUUGAUAACUUAACCCCUUUUAUUUUUCUGAUAUAGGUAUGUGUAGCAUUCUACAAGGCAUGCUGGGUAAAAUAUACUAUGCAAAUGUGUACAGUGUUGCAUGUUUUUGUUCUCCCUCUGCUUUAGUGGCUUCAAAGAAAAAAAAUGUGGUGUUAUUUUUGUGAACAAGACAUUUAACAAAGAAAAUGCAGAGUGCAUGCAUACAGUAUCCUAAUUUCUAUGGAUUUGUUUUAUGGAAUUUAAAUGUGUACAAAACAAUUGCAUUAAUUUUUUUCUUUUAUAUAAUAAAUGAAAAAAC